rnacentral:lncRNA from 1 species
UCUACAACCACCGCUAAAAUCCCUUUGGAUCAUCAUUUUUUUUUAAUCUGAUCCUGUACAUCCACACCAUCCACACAAGGACACAUCACUAUUCUCCUAAACCAACACCACACUCUUCUUUGAUAAUCCUUUAAUCCCAUGCUAAACAGAUCGGAAACACAGUCAUUCGCCCCAUUCCUCUCUCUCUUUAUUUAUUUUUUUUGUAUGUGCCUCUCUCUCGACGGGAAUAGCAUGAGAGAAAAGAGAUCCCGCACAUCAAGCCAUCCAACCCAGACCCUUUCUGUGCG